rnacentral:rRNA from 1 species
GACGAACGCUGGCGGCGUGCCUAAUACAUGCAAGUUGAGCGAUGAAGAUUGGUGCUUGCACCAAUUUGAAGAGCAGCGAGCGGGUGAGUAACGCGUGGGGAAUCUGCCUUUGAGCGGGGGACAACAUUUGGAAACGAAUGCUAAUACCGCAUAAUAACUUUAAACAUAAGUUUUAAGUUUGAAAGAUGCAAUUGCAUCACUCAAAGAUGAUCCCGCGUUGUAUUAGCUAGUUGGUGAGGUAAAGGCUCACCAAGGCGAUGAUACAUAGCCGACCUGAGAGGGUGAUCGGCCACAUUGGGACUGAGACACGGCCCAAACUCCUACGGGAGGCAGCAGUAGGGAAUCUUCGGCAAUGGACGAAAGUCUGACCGAGCAACGCCGCGUGAGUGAAGAAGGUUUUCGGAUCGUAAAACUCUGUUGGUAGAGAAGAACGUUGGUGAGAGUGGAAAGCUCAUCAAGUGACGGUAACUACCCAGAAAGGGACGGCUAACUACGUG